rnacentral:rRNA from 1 species
CGUGAACCAUCGAGUCUUUGAACGCAAGUUGCGCCCGAAGCCAUUAGGUCGAGGGCACGUCUGCCUGGGCGUCACGCAUCGCGUCGCCCCCCACCACCCGCUCAUCGGCGGAUUCGGGGGGCGGAGACUGGCCUCCCGUGGGCUCCCGCCCGCGGCCGGCCC